GAUGAACGCUGGCGGCGUGCCUAAUACAUGCAAGUCGAGCGGACGGACGCGAAGCUUGCUUCUCUGAUGUUAGCGGCGGGCGGGUGAGUCACACGUGGAUAACCUCCCUAUAAGACUGGGAUAACUUCGGGAAACCGUAGCUAAUACCGGAUAAUAUUUUGCACCGCAUGGUUCAAAAGUGAAUGACGGUCUUGCUGUCUCUUAUAGAUGGAUCCGCGCUGCAUUAGCUAGUUGGUAAGGUAACGGCUUACCAAGGCAACGAGGCGUAGCCGACCUGAGAGGGGGGUAGGCCACACUGGAGGGGGAACGCGGACCAGGCUCCUGAGGGAGGGAGCAGAAGGGAAUCGGCCGCAAUGGGGGGAAGCCUGACGGAGCAGCGCCGCGUGUGAUGUGAAGGUCUUGGGAUCGGAAAACUCUGUUAUUAGGGAAGAACAGAUGUGGAAGGAACUGUGCACAGCUUGACGGUACCUAAUCAGAAAGCCACGGCUAACUACGUG
rnacentral:rRNA from 1 species